rnacentral:lncRNA from 1 species
AGGCACGGGGCUGGCCUGCCCCAGGGGGAGAGUCUGUGUCAGCCCCAUCCACGGGUGCUGUCUUCCAGCUGGUGGGCCACGGCGGCAGAGUGGAGCAGUUCCUGGAGCAGAGCCUGUCCUACCUGUGGAGCCCCCAGGAGCCCCUGCAAGAGGCGGCCAUCAGGUUCAUUGGGCUUGCCGGGCAGCACUUGAGAGAUGGGCGUGAGGAGAAGCUGGACAACAUCAUCGAGGGUGAGUGCGGUGUGGCAGGGAGAAGAAAAGUCCCUGGGCAGCGAGCAGCAAGCCCGGUGCCAACCCAGGAGGGCUCUGCAAGCCCUGUGGACAACGGGCAGUACGGGCGAAGCAAGGAGCAUUUGCUGCCAGCCCCUUUGCAGCUGAUCCCGCCGUCUCCCUGCUGGCCCUGGGAAGAGCUGUGUGGGGUGGCCUCGGCAGGAGGGUUCCCCGGCUUGCUUUGCUCAGACGUGGGCUCUGACCUCCACUCUGUUCUCUUCCGUGUCAGCCCUGAGGAGUUUGGAGGACACCGGCAGCCCUUCUGUUUCCACGCUGGUGGCUGAAACGGUCCGGAUCCUGAGGACUGCCCCUGGAUUCAGCCUGCAGGCUGUGCGCUCUCGGCUCUUCAGCAUGUGAGAGAGGAGGCUGCACGCCCCAAGAGCUGGCUGGCUGCGCUGCUGCAGCUGUGCUCAGGGCUGACCCCAGCUCCGGCCCUCGGGGUCAGCCCUCCACCCCGCACGUGCUCCUGGUCAGCCCCUCCGCUGGGCUUCCCCAAGAGACACAGCCCUCUUGCUUCACUGUGGAGGUGCUGAAGGAAGCCAGUGCUCCAUGAGCUUCACUCGCAAUAGAGAAGCCUGUGUAAUUUACUGUAUUUACUAAUAGAAAAUAAAUAUUGUCUCUAUUACUGAUGC